rnacentral:rRNA from 1 species
GACGAACGCUGGCGGCGUGCCUAAUACAUGCAAGUAGGACGCAGUUGCGAACGGGUGAGUAACGCGUAGGUAACUACCUAUUAGAGGGGGAUCACUAUUGGAAACGAUAGCUAAUACCGCAUACUAGUAGAUGGACCUGCGUUGUAUUAGCUAGUAGGUAGGGUAAUGGCCUCCCGAGGCAACGAUACAUAGCCGACAUGAGAGGGUGAUCGGGCACAAUGGGACUGAGACACGGCCCAGACUCCUUCGGGAGGCAGCAGUAGGGAAUCUUCGGCAAUGGGGGGAACCCUGACCGAGCAACGCCGCGGGAGGGAAGAAGGGUUUCGGAUCGUAAAGCUCUGUUGUGAAGGAAGCGGUACUUAACCAGAAAGGGACGGCUAACUACGUGCCAGCAGCCGCGGUAAUAC